AAAAGUACUUUGGCCUUUUUUUCUAUACCCUCCAUCUCACUUCUCUCCUAGAUAAUGGAAUGCUGUAAUGGAAUGGAGGUUCUCUCAAAAUUACAGACAAAUGCGAGGAAUGUUGUUGUAAUGGAGUAAAUGGAGGAGAAGUCGCAAUCCCUGGAAAACAAAAGCAAAAGCAAGAAGACCAUCUUAUCGGAAUCGGAGUUGGACGACGAGCCCUUCACAGAAGAAGACCUCCAAGCCAUUGAGGCCGCAUUCGAAGCUGCCACUUCUUUCUCUCUCCCCAAAAAGCGACGGUCCAGCCCAGACGACGACUCAGACGGCGACGACAAAACCCAACAAUACCACUCCAAGAUUGCCCGCCGCCGCCUGCCCAGUUCAGUUCUCGCUCUCCAGCAUCCAAACGCAUUCUCUCUCUCCCCUUGUCGUCAAGCCAAUAUAAGGAUGAGAUAUCCUGUGAUGAAGUUUGGAGGUCAGAUUACAUAUAGCAGGACUGCAGUUCAAGUAGAGAAAGCUGCCAUGGAGGUUCUAAAGAUUAUUGAAGCAAAGGAAAAAGAAGCGGGCCAAACUGCAGUUGGAUUUGACAUUGAGUGGAGACCCACAUUCCAAAGAGGUGUUCCACCUAGGAAGGCUGCGGUUAUGCAGAUAUGUGUAGACACAAGUUGUUGUCACGUAAUGCAUAUUGUUCAUUCUGGGAUUCCUCAAAGUUUGCAGUUACUUCUCGAAGAUGCAUCAAUUUUGAAGGUUGGACUUGGCAUUGCCGGUGAUUCUGUUAAGGUUUUUAAAGAUUAUAAUGUCUCUACUAAAGCUGUUGAAGAUCUUAAAUAUCUAGCUAAACGAAAGCUUGGUGGAGGUCUGCAGAACUGGGGUCUUGCAUCUCUUACUGAGAAGCUUAUAUGCAAACAGCUUUUGAAGCCCAACAAAAUUAGAUUGGGAAACUGGGAGGCCAAGUUUUUAUCAAAGGAGCAGUUGGAGUAUGCUGCUAUUGAUGCAUUCACAUCAUGGCAUCUGUAUGAGGUGUUAAAGAGCCUCCCUGAUGCUGAGAAAGUUACACCUGACAAUCAGAGUGAGGAACUGCAAGCUGUAUCAUUGUAACGAAGUUCAGAGGGAGAACCCACAAGCUGUACAUUGUAAUGAAUUUCUCUUGUAACAUCAGGAUUAAAUUAUAAAAGAAAGCAUAAUCAUAUUUUACCCCCUUGUUUAUCAUCCUGUUAGCCUCUUUAGCGCUGCCCUUGAUAUUCUCAGGACUAGAGGUGUUCAUCAUGCUGAGAUAUUGUCCAGAUGCAGAAGAUCAUGUCGGUUUCAUAUUUGGUCGUCAAGGCAACUUUAGACCUUUAAGAGAAUGGGACUUUAAGUUAUGGUUGGGCUGUGGUACGUAUCGCAUCCCUGCAAUUGGAAGUCUGAGCUACUUGCCUGUUGGUUCACAACUCCAUUCACUCUUCCCGUUGUGAAGAACUCAUGGGUAACUGAAUUGUAAGGAAAUGGUGCCCAAGAGACUUGUAAGCAAAUGGCGCCCAAGAGCAUGAAAAGAUAUGAUAUUUUUUCAAUGUGAAAUAUCGAAUCCUAACACUCUCGCCCCUAUUUUGAAUUCACA